rnacentral:rRNA from 1 species
CUCUUUCUUGAUUUUUCAGGUGGUGGUGCAUGGCCGUUCUUAGUUGGUGGAGUGAUUUGUCUGCUUAAUUGCGAUAACGAACGAGACCUUAACCUGCUAAAUAGCCAGGCUAGCUUUGGCUGGUCGCCGGCUUCUUAGAGGGACUAUCGGCUCAAGCCGAUGGAAGUUUGAGGCAAUAACAGGUCUGUGAUGCCCUUAGAUGUUCUGGGCCGCAUGCGCGCUACACUGACAGAGCCAACGAGUUCUUCACCUUGGCCGGAAGGUCUGGGUAAUCUUGUUAAACUCUGUCGUGCUGGGGAUAGAGCAUUGCAAUUAUUGCUCUUCAACGAGGAAUGCCUAGUAAGCGCAUGUCAUCAGCAUGCGUUGAUUACGUCCCUGCCCUCUGUACACACCGCCCGUCGCUACUACCGAUUGAAUGGCUCAGUGAGGCGUUCGGACUGGCUUGGAGAGGUUGGCAACGACCACUCUGAGCCGGAAAGUUCGUCAAACUCGGUCAUUUAGAGGAAGUAAAAGUCGUAACAAGGUUU